UUCUUCUGGACGACUCGCUGUGGAAUAACGAAGGCACAAACCAUGGAGCUGCCGCAGCUGCUGACUCCUGCGGCCGAGUCGCCUCGAGUCCGUCUGGGAAAAGAAACCGGAGGAACCACGUGAAAACCCCCGACGUCAGCGUCAGUUCGGGGUUGAAACCUGGUCGUGAUUGGCCGAAGAGCCCAGUACCCAGGAUGCAACAGGCUCUCUCUCAUGCACACCUGGACCAGACCUCGGAGACAGAUCCCGAUUCACUGAAGCUUCGUCACUUCCUGUUUGGAGUCUUCGUAUCACUGACACUAAAAUAAAUGAAACACUUCGACCGACCCAACGAGUCGAAGCUCCAACCGGACUGGAUCAGAAGAAUCCAGCACAUAGACGGAGCCAUUCAACUACAAACUGCCGCCAUGAAACCAACGAUUGCGUUUGUUUUCUGAGCCCGAUCGACUCCGUCGAGUGGAUUCACAGCUUAUUACCGCCCCCUACUGACACAACGAGGGCGUAACAUGACGUGAGAAGAACCAACCUGAAGACAAGGACUGAACGAGCUCGACUGAAAGUGAACUCUGCACCGACCGCUGGUCCAUGUCUG